rnacentral:rRNA from 1 species
CUACGGGUCGCAGCAGUGGGGAAUAUUGCACAAUGGGCGCAAGCCUGAUGCAGCCAUGCCGCGUGUAUGAAGAAGGCCUUCGGGUUGUAAAGUACUUUCAACGGGGAGGAAGGGAGUAAAGUUAAUACCUUUGCUCAUUGACGUUACCCGCAGAAGAAGCACCGGCUAACUCCGUGCCAGCAGCCGCGGUAAUACGGAGGGUGCAAGCGUUAAUCGGAAUUACUGGGCGUAAAGCGCACGCAGGCGGUUUGUUAAGUCAGAUGUGAAAUCCCCGGGCUCAACCUGGGAACUGCAUCUGAGACUGGCAAGCUUGAGUCUCGUAGAGGGGGGUAGAAUUCCAGGUGUAGCGGUGAAAUGCGUAGAGAUCUGGAGGAAUACCGGUGGCGAAGGCGGCCCCCUGGACGAAGACUGACGCUCAGGUGCGAAAGCGUGGGGAGCAAACAGGAUUAGAUACCCCCGUAGUC